ensembl:lncRNA
CUGAAAUUGAAUUUCAUACUCUUUAAGAGCAUUUGCAGCCCAAAACAUACAUUUCAGGUUAAAGUAUUGAGGUUAUGACAAACUAUCGACUGGUACGGUCUUAAGUUCUGAAUUUGUAGAAAAUUUAACAUGCUGCUUAGCGGUUAGCACGUUCGCCUCACACCUCCAGGGUCGGGGGUUCGAUUCCCGCGGCUCUGUGUGUGCGGAGUUUGCAUGUUCUCCCCGUGCUGCGGGGGUUUCCUCCGGGUUCUCCGGUUUCCUCCCCAGUCCAAAGACAUGCAUGGUAGGUUUAUCGGCAUGUCUAAAGUGUCCGUAGUGUAUGAACGGGUGUGGGAGUGCGUAUGUGAUUGUGCCCUGCGAUGGACUGGCACCCUGUCCAGGGUGUACCCCGCCUUGUGCCCGAUGCUCCCUGGGAUAGGCUCCAGGUUUCCCCGUGACCCUGAAAAGGAGUAAGUGGUAGAAGAUGGAUGGAUGGAUGGAUGGAUCCCGAUCUUGGUGACAUCACACCAUCUUCACUCUGCCACUCUCAUGCAUUCAAAUGGCUCUUCUUGAGAGCUCUCACGUUCCUACACCAGAGUUUUGAAUUAUGGCCUUGUCUACAGUAGGUAGUGCUUGACUGGUGUGAUGAUAUGAAAUGACAGAUAGAUAUAAUUCUACACCCGAUUCCUACGUUAUGAAAUGAUAUUACUUUAUGUCGAACUUCCGACGAACGCUCCGUGGUCGUCAUUCUCACACCUUUCCGUCAGACUGACAGUCUCUUCGAUGGCGGGUCAAUUGAGGUGGGAUUAUGUUCAGAAAACUGGCAGCUGUUUGAAUUUCUCACAGGGGGUGGGGGAUAGGCCAAUUAUAAAUCAAUCACGUCCUCGUUAAGACCAUACCGUUCAUCCGGCGCUUCCACGACUGGUUUGAAUACCUGUGUUUGAAUAGUUUUCGAUUUUCUUUGGAAAAAUUCUGCUGACAAGUUUGGCUUUCAAAUAAAUUCACUGCAAGAGAACAUACGUUUGCAAUAAAAUACUGACAGGAAGAAUAUGUCUAUUUAUCAUUUGUUAUUGAAACAAACCUGAUCAAUUCCAGAGAGUGUGUGUGUGUGUGUGUGUGUGAAUAUUCUUGCAAUCCACUGUAAAAGGUUUUGUAGUGAUUGUGAUAAUAAUAUAUGAAACGUAUUAUACGUGCGGUCCUACGGUACUCCUAAGCUGUAAUGUUAUGCCAUAGCUAUGACAGGAACUUGUAUGAGCUUUGAUUUGGAGCACUUGUGCAGCUUUUGUGUGCGUCUAUGUGUGUGCUGCUGUUUAAGAAGAUAUCCCAUCAUCCGUAUUGUUUGUACGUUGUCCCGCUUUUUGCUUUAGAAGUCGAUUUUCGAUUGCGCGUGCGUGGUGCUUUAAAUCUAAUUUCAAAUGUCUUGGAGAAACAGAUACGGAACGUGUGUACGUGUGUAUGUCCGUGUGUAAUAACUUUUGCUUGUGCGGAACGGUUUGGUCUCUCACAAAGACAAAAAGUGCACGAUUAGGACAAAUUCCGAAGCAUACGUUUCGGUUGGAGACGUAAAAACGGAAACCCAUUACACGCUACGAUAUAUCCGACGUUAUGUAAUACGAGACGCUAUCUGAUCCAGAUGCCGGACCCUUCCCGAGUCUGCGUGGGUGUGUUCGAGUAGGCGAGCGCUACAAUCUACAAAGCAGGCAGGGUUACUCCAGGACACACACUCGAGAACCUCCGGUCUUCAGGUUCUAUCCAGGCGUUCUGAAAUCUCGUCUCGACUGCUCUGUCUCGAACGGAAACAUCGACGUGAGGGUUGGUGGAGAACGUCGGCUCUUAAUUACGACCCGGCUCUGACUGCACCGCCCACGCGCUGUUGACCCGAGAUGAUGAGAGCUAAUUGCAGAAAGCGAGAGGACAAACACGCACAGGUCCGCCAGGAUCCCAGACGAACCGGGGGGGGGGGGUGUCAUGAAUAUUUAACGUGAGAUAACUGUACUGUCAUUGACCUCGUAGGGUGACGACGUAAGAGUCGGAAAGACAUAGUGAUGAUACCAUCACUAAAAACUCAAGUGUGUGUGUGUGUGUGUGUGCUGCUGAUUACACUGCUUGUGUUCUUUCUAAAUCCCAAAACUCCUUCCAUACACAAUUCCUCCCAAACCCCAAUAGUACAAUACAUAUAAUAAUUACAUUCCUAAAACACCACCAUUAUUAGCAGUGUGAAUGAUUAAUUAGCGUGUAUAAUUAAAGCCCAAACGAUCCUACUCUAAUAGAACAGAACCUUUUCCUUUCCUUUUUUUUUUAAAAAUUUUUUUAACCGUACACGUAAAUAGGACGAUAAUUGAGUUAUUUACGGUUCGGUUUUGUUUGGUGGCUAAUCAGUCUGUUUGUUUCGGCACCACUGGACACGGAUUACGAUCAACAAAAGAUGUGUGUGUGUGUGUGUGUGUGCAAACUGCAUGGAAAUCACAUUCACCCGCCGUCCAUGACAAGUGCAAGUCCGCGAUGUGGUUUAGGGUGCAGUAUAACUUAUAAUCAUGAACGAAACCUCUCUUAAAAUGCAGUAAGAGGUGAAUACGAGGUGUGUGUGAGAUACGAAAUGAAAAUACUGUAUUUAUAGAAAGGAUUUUGGAGUGAGACCGACUUGCAGGCCUCAUUAGACUCACAGUUCCAGUGCGAAAGUAAAGAAGCAAAUGUCAAACGACAAACGUGGCUCGGCGGAUCGGCUACGUUUUGGGGUAAGGCACUGUCGUUUAAGUCCACUAAUGACAGAUUGAUAGAUUUGUGAUAUAUAUAGCAAUAAACUGCCAAUCCAUCUUCACUAAUAUUAUUAUACAUGCAUUUACUCUGCCUAUUCAUUUUAGAAAUGUGCGUGUUUUUUUUUUGUUUUUUUUUGCAUGCAAAUGAUGCUUCAUUUAAAUAAACAGACCUGUGUUUACAGGAAUUGAAUUGAGAUGAUUAAAACCUAAAAGGAAUUUCAGUUCGCACUCUCGAGACGUUUCCGGAACGUGCUGCUGAAAUAGUAUCUUUUUUAUCUGGGCAAGAAAAUAACCAAAAUACAAGCAGGAAAAAAAAAAAAAAAAACGAUGAUCGGAUAUCGUCCUGGGCAUCGAUCUGACACCCAGUGGAAAAAAAAAAAAAAGAGAAAAGAAUUCAGUCUGAUCUCGUGUGAGACAGUGAUUGGAAACGGAAAUGUUUAUGUCGAGCGACUGAGACGGCUGCAGUCGCAAGUAAAUGCCUUUUAUUAAAAGACGGAGGCGAACGAUUCGAGAUCGUGAGGCAGCUGAUAAUCAGGUGACCAAACCCGAUUCAGGAGGGAUAUCAGGAGUCCUUUCUAUCGUGCGGUUAGCGAUCGAGACCACGUGUGCAUGACCAGCGAUUGGCCGAGUGUGAACGUGACAACAGCCACGUUUCCGUCCAAGUUGCGAAU